rnacentral:rRNA from 1 species
UUUUGGGAGGGGCCUGCGUCCCAUCAGAUAGUUGGUAAGGUAACGGCUUACCAAGGCGAUGACGGGUAGGGGACCUGAGAGGGUGAUCCCCCACAAUGGAACUGAAACACGGUCCAUACACAUACGGGUGGCAGCAGUAGGGAAUAUUGCUUAAUGGGCGAAAGCUUGAAGCAGCAACGCCGCGUGUGCGAUGAAGGCCUUCGGGUCGUAAAGCACUUUUUGCUGGGAAGAGGAAGGACGGUACCAGCAGAAUAAGCCUCGGCUAACUACGUGCCAGCAGCCGCGGUAAAACGUAGGAGGCGAGCGUUAUCCGGAUUUACUGGGUGUAAAGCGCGUGCAGGCGGUUUACUAAGUUAGGUGUGAAAGCUCCUGGCUCAACUGGGAGAGGUCGCUUAAGACUGGUAGACUUGAGAGCAGUAGGGGAAGGUGGAAUUCCGGGUGUAGUGGUGAAAUGCGUAGAUAUCCGGAGGAACACCAGUGGCGAAGGCGGCCUUCUGGACUGCAUCUGACGCUCAGACGCGAAAGCUAGGGUAGCAAACGGGAUUAGAGACCCCGGUAGUCCUAGCCGUAAACGAUGUGAACUUGGCGCCGGGCGGGUAAAACCGAUCGGUGCCGAAGCAAACGCGAUAAGUUCACCACCUGGGGACUACGGCCGCAAGGUUAAAACUCAAAGGAAUUGACGGGGGCCCGCACAAGCAGCGGAGCGUGUGGUUUAAUUCGAUGCUACACGAAGAACCUUACCAGGGCUUGACAUGGAAGUGGUAGUGAAGCGAAAGCGGAACGACCCUUCGGGGAGCUUUCACAGGUGCUGCAUGGCUGUCGUCAGCUCGUGUCGUGAGAUGUUCGGUUAAGUCCGCUAACGAGCGCAACCCUCGCCGCGUGUUAUACGUGUCACGCGGGACUGCCAGUCUUAAGCUGGAGGAAGGUGGGGAUGACGUCAAGUCAGCAUGGCCUUUAUGUCCUGGGCUACACACACGCUACAAUGGCCAGUACAAUAGGUAGCGAAGUCGCGAGGCGAAGCCAAUCCUCAAAGCUGGUCUCAGUUCAGAUUGCAGGCUGCAACCCGCUUGCAUGAAGAUGGAGUUGCAUAGUAACCGCAGGUCAGCUAUACUGCGGUAAAACGUCCGGGCU